UCAUAUCACAUUGAAACACCGGUUCUCGUGCAAUCACCAAAGUUAAGCAACGUGGAUCCUGGUUAGUACCUAUAUGGGUGACCGUUUGAGAAUUCCAGGUGCUGUAAG